UGCCGAAGUGGCGGAAUUGGCAGACGCAUCAGACUCAAAAUCUGACGUUGGAAACAUCGUGGGGGUUCGAGUCCCUUCUUCGGCACCAA
rnacentral:tRNA from 1 species